GCAAAAAUCACCGUGAAAAGUGCUAAUUAUUAGAAAGCACUGUGAGAACUUAUUUGGGAACAAAAUGGACAGAGUCACUAAGAAAUAAUUGAGCUUGUAUUUCUGAGUUUUAACUCAAAUGAGCAAGUUCUCUAUGGCAGCAUCUGAGGCAUUACCAGAGAUGGAAGAGAGAAUGAUGAGCGUUAUACAGUGGAGUUUUGUCAACUCUUUGAAGACAGAAGUUGCUCCAUUCUGGGACAAGAGGGAAAGAUCUACAAGGAUAUUUACCCUUUCCUCUGACAUUCCACAUUGUUUGGCCUCAGUGAUCCAUUGUUUCUAUUUAAUUCUGUCUAGCACUGAAGAUGCUUCCACAGAAGAAAAUCCAGGAUAAUAAAAUGAAGAACAUUUAUGAGGAAAAGAGCACAAAACCUCCAUACUUGAGUUGUUCUGGCCAUGUUUGUGUGAGAUGUAAGUUUCUCUCUAGGGCAAAAUACACUAGAAACCAUAUGACAAAGAUCUUCUGGCCUCUGUAAUGUGAAGCAGGAGAAAGGUUGUCCAGAGUCUUAUUUAUUUUUAUUAUCUUAGACCCUAGAACUCCUUGCCUUAGAGCAGGACCCCGUCAUAGCAGCCACAGCACAAAAUGACAUGCUCUCUCCCAAAGACUUCAGAACUGGACAGUGAAAGUGGUGGGACACUGCAAACUGCUACACAAACAAUGUAUGAGUGGACCCCAUCAGCUGAGAUGAAGACUGAUGCCCUAUGCCAUCAGCAGUCUCCUUGCAAGGAUGGUGAAGUUGGCAGCAAAGAGAUGUUUGAAAGAAAGGAUUUAGCCUGGAGAGAGAUAACAGGGCUGGUGGUAGAUAAACAGAACAAUGGAAGUGAAGGUCAUCAUGGCAUCAGUCACAACUCUCUCUUUUUUCUGGAGUAUUCCUACAGUGUAUGCUCUGUUCCUGUCCUUAUCUCUGAGCACCAGCAGACUUUGCAGCUCAGACUUCCAGGAACUAUUCCAGGCUGCUACUCCUGCCUGCCAGCCUGGGAGCAAAACAGGGGCGUGGCACCUCUACACGGACUUCUCUCCAUUUCAUUCCACAAGUUUCCUUGGAAGUGGCCUGUUGUCUUCUGCAUGCUCUCAUGGCAGCUGGCCCUGGUGCAGUCACCUCUCUCUGGUCAAGUCUGGUGUCUUUUGAGAUCUUCAACAUGGCUAGCUCAGUAG
rnacentral:lncRNA from 1 species